ACCACUUCGACUAGACCAGCAGUAGGCCUAAUCGACCCUGUCCCUUUACACCACUGACCGAUUUGGCUCUUCUAUUACUUUCUUCUAGCCCUUAAACAAAAUUUAAAAAGAAAAAAAAAAUGAAAGUGUUCAUUUUCGGAGUUUUCCUCGGUCUACUGGCCACCGUCUGGGCCGCUCCCACCGACAAGUUGGAUGAGGUGAAACCCAUCGCCAUCGUCCGUUCAAUCAGUGAGAACAACCCUGACGGCAGUUACUCGUACAGUUUCGAAGGUGAAGACGGAACCAAGGUCGACGAGAGCGGCAAUCAGAAACGAGUCGGACCCAAAGCCGAGGAUAUCGGCACCAUCUCAAGUGGAUCUUAUUCCUACCUCUCUCCCGAUGGCACUCCAAUCAGCGUCGUCUGGACUUCGAACGAGAACGGAUUCGUGGCCACGGGUGACCAUUUGCCAACUCCUCCGCCGAUGCCCCAACAUGUCGUCAAGAUGCUCGACGGCCACCUCGAAAAGUGAAUGUCGUUGGCGAAGCUCAACCAUACCAACACCCAGUCUUGAUAAUUGGCUUGUUACUAACACAAAUGUAUAGAUUUAAUUUUCGUUUUCACUAAUUUAGUGUUGGGUGAACGGUUGUAGAUGAAAGGGAAAACAGUUCCAGU
rnacentral:misc_RNA from 1 species